rnacentral:rRNA from 1 species
GUCGAGAGGUCCUGCGCCGAAAAUGUCCGGGGCUGAAACACGACACCGAAGCUUAGGAAUCACAUAGUGAUUGGUAGAGGAGCAUUCUUAAAACCGACGAAGCUGUACCGGAAGGAGCAGUGGAGGGAUAAGAAGAGAGAAUGCCGGAAUGAGUAGCGAGAGAGAGGUGGGAAUCCUCUCGGCCGAAUAUCCAAGGUUUCCAGAGUAAAGCUGAUCUGCUCUGGGUAAGUCGGGGCCUAAGGAGAGGCAGAGAUGCGUAUCCGAUGGACAGCAGGUUUAAGAUUCCUGCACCCCUUGUUAUCAGAACUGCGGGGACACGGGAAGGGAAGCAGAGCCGGGAAUGGAAAGCCCGGUGCAAGCGAAGUAGUCGCAGGGUUGGAAAAUCCGCCCUGCAUGAGACGAAGGCGUGAUGCGGAGCGAAAUGAAGUAGUGAAGCUGCGGCCCCUUCCUGUCGAGAAAAGCCGCUAUCGUGUAGCAAGGGCCCGUACCGUAAACCGACACAGGUGGAUGAGGAGAGGAUCCUAAGGCCGGCGGGAGAAGUGUUGUUAAGGAACUCGGCAAAAUGACUCCGUAACUUCGGGAGAAGGAGUGCUGCGCAAGCAGCCGCAGAGAAAUGGCCCAAGCAACUGUUUAGCAAAAACACAGGUCUAUGCGAAACCGAAAGGUGAGGUAUAUGGGCUGACGCCUGCCCGGUGCUGGAAGGUUAAGGGGAGAGGUUAGCGCAAGCGAAGCUUUGAACUUAAGCCCCAGUAAACGGCGGCCGUAACUAUAACGGUCCUAAGGUAGCGAAAUUCCUUGUCGGGUAAGUUCCGACCCGCACGAAAGGCGUAAUGAUUUGGGCACUGUCUCAACAACACACCCGGUGAAAUUGAAAUACCAGUGAAGAUGCUGGUUACCCGCGCCAGGACGGAAAGACCCCAUGGAGCUUUACUCCAGCCUGAUACUGGGAUUCGGUAUUGCAUGUACAGGAUAGGUGGGAGGCUAAGAACUCAUGGCGCCAGCCGUGAGGGAGCCGAUGUUGGGAUACCACCCCUGCAGUACUGGGUUUCUAACCUGCGCCCGUGACCCGGGCGGGGGACAAUGUCAGGCGGGGAGUUUGACUGGGGCGGUCGCCUCCGAAAGGGUAUCGGAGGCGCUCAAAGGUUCCCUCAGAAUGGACGGAAACCAUUCGAAGAGUGCAAAGGCAGAAGGGAGCUUGACUGCGACACCGACGGGUGGAGCAGGUACGAAAGUAGGACUUAGUGAUCCGGUGGUAUAAAGUGGGAUUGCCAUCGCUCAACGGAUAAAAGCUACCCUGGGGAUAACAGGCUUAUCACUCCCAAGAGUUCACAUCGACGGAGUGGUUUGGCACCUCGAUGUCGGCUCAUCGCAUCCUGGGGCUG